UCUGGCGUUCAUCGUCCGAGUUGUAAUUUGGAGGGGUAUCUUCGGGAGCGACGCCGCCGUAUGUUCCUUGGAACAGGACGUCACAGAGGGUGAGAAUCCCGUGCUUCGGCGGAUCGUAGCGACCAUGUGAAGUGCCUCCGACGAGUCGAGUUGUUUGGGAAUGCAGCUCAAAAUGGGUGGUAAAUUUCAUCUAAAGCUAAAUACCGGCGAGAGACCGAUAGCGCACAAGUAGAGUGAUCGAAAGAUGAAAAGCACUUUGAAAAGAGGGUUAAACAGUACGUGAAAUUGUUGAAAGGGAAGCGCUUGAGAUCGAAGUCGGUUUGGUGGACUCAGCCGAGCUUCUGCUCGGUGCAAUGUCCACCGACCGGGCCAGCAUCGGUUCUGACGGCGGGAUAAAGGCGUGCGGAAACGUAGCUCACCUCUCCGGGCGAGUGUUAUAGUCCGCCGUCGCAAUGCCGCCAGUCCGGGACCGAGGACCGCGCUUCGGCUAGGAUGCUGGCGGAACGGUCUUAAGCGACCCG
rnacentral:rRNA from 1 species